GGGGAAUCUUGCGCAAUGGGGGCAACCCUGACGCAGCGACGCCGCGUGCGGGACGAAGGCCUUCGGGUCGUAAACCGCUUUCAGCAGGGACGAGGCCGAGAGGUGACGGUACCUGCAGAAGAAGCCCCGGCUAACUACGUGCCAGCAGCCGCGGUAAUACGUAGGGGGCGAGCGUUAUCCGGAUUCAUUGGGCGUAAAGCGCUCGUAGGCUGCCCGCUAGGUCCGGGGUCAAAUCCGGGGGCUCAACCCCCGCACGCCCCGGAUACCGGCGGGCUUGAGUCGGGUAGGGGAAGGCGGCAUUCCAGGUGUAGCGGUGGAAUGCGCAGAUAUCUGGAAGAACACCGGUGGCGAAGGCGGCCUUCUGGGCCUCGACUGACGCUGAGGAGCGAAAGCUGGGGGAGCGAAC
rnacentral:rRNA from 1 species